AGCUCUAGCUCAGUGGUAGAGCGUGGGAUUGCAGUCCAUUUGCAAUCAUCCUAAGGUCACUUGUUCGAACCAGUGAGUCCUC